GACGAACGCUGGCGGCGUGCCUAAUACAUGCAAGUCGAGCGGGCCUCCGGAGGUGCUUGCACCUCCGGAAGGCCAGCGGCGGACGGGUGAGUAACACAUGGGCAACCUGCCUUUGAGGCCGGGAUAACACCGGGAAACCGGUGCUAAUACCGGAUGCGUCCUCUUUCGUGCCUGCGAGAGGGGAGAAAGACGGUCUUCGGGCCGUCGCUCAAAGAGGGGCCCGCGGCGCAUUAGCUGGUUGGUGGGGUAAGGGCCUAUCAAGGCGACGAUGCGUUGCCGACCUGAGAGGGUGAUCGGCCACACUGGGACUGAGACACGGCCCAGACUCCCGCGGGAGGCAGCAGUAGGGAAUCAUCCGCAAUGGGCGAAAGCCUGACGGUGCAACGCCGCGUGAGUGAGGAAGGUUUUCGGAUCGUAAAGCUCUGUUGUGAGGGAAGAACAGCUUCCGGAGGAAAUGCCGGAGGUUUGCCGGUACCUCACCAGAAAGCCCCGGCUAACUACGUGCCAGCCGCCGCAGUAA
rnacentral:rRNA from 1 species